UCUAUGGCUAAAACAGAGUUAACCAGAACAUUCAGUUUGGAAAAACAUUAUAAUCGCUGAUAUUUUUGGUUACUCAACAUUUUGUUUUAUUUUGCAUUAGAAUGAAAGGUUAAUCAUUCACUACUUGAUGAGAUGCUGCCUGGCAUAAUAGUGUGGGCUGGAUAAAAAGCAACUUGCCUUGUUUGUAUUUUGCUGUGAAGUAGCCUGGUGGCUCAGGGAAAUUACUUAACCUCUUGGAGGUUCAGAAUGCUCAACUGGAUUAAGAUAUCAAAUUGGAGACUUUAUAAGACUCUGUAGUUCUAAGUGCCUUCCAUGUGCUUCCAAGUCAUUUACCAGGUACUACAGGUGAAGCUAGAGACAUUGGCCCUGAGUUAUCUUCAAGAAGGUCAACUGUGAACAUCUCAAUCUCUUCCUGAAAACUGUCAAUCAUUUCCCAACACCUACUGAACAAAAUUCUGUGGAUACCAUCAAAAGCUUCCUACUAAUAAGGAUAAAGGAAAAGAAAAAAAGGAAUUGUCUCUGCCCCCAGGCCUUGGACUCUGAGACAGUUAACAAGAGGCUCACGGAGAGGCUGGCUGACCCACAGCUACUGCCCGGAGACUGGGUAGUAGGAAGGCCAAUAGAGGGAGAUAAAUAAAGUGCCAUCUAAUUAAGAAACACAGCAAUGGCUCAUCCUAGAGUUGAGAAGGAAAGAGAGGCUGCUUCUACCAGGUUCUCUGUCCUGCAACAUAAGGUAUGUCCAAUUAUAAUUUCCAAACAAUUAAGAGUGUGACUAUGUGUUAAAGAUUAUUAAUUUAAUAAUGAGGGAGUUGGUAAAAUGGUAAAACUGGUUCAAAGAGCAUUUUUAAAAACAAGUGACUCUUACAUAAUCCAGGAAAGAAGGCAUCUUGAAAUAAAUUUGCUGUUAGACAGAAAAUUGGAAUAUCAUACAGGACAAUAAAAUAUAACUUUUAGGAUUAUCUACUUUAACAGAGUGAAAUCUACGUUACAUGUAACUUGAUUGUAUCUAAUCCCUUAAAAGCAGAUAUAUCCCCAUGUAUCAGUAAUCUUUGAAUAAGCCUGUGAAAUAAUAUUCCAAUAUGACAUUGAAAGGACAUGGUGCUCACUUUUCUGCCUUAUUUCUAAGUUUAAAAAGAUUUUUUCCUGCAGUCCCCCUAUUUUGAUCAUAAAUAAUCUGCAAAGAUUAUUCUCUAUCACAGAAAAACUGAUGGUCUUGAGAGGAGGUGUCAGCUGGGCUUCCUGGGUCGAGCAGGGGCCCAGAAAGCUGUGAAUCUCACUCAUUCUCUGCAUCAGGACUUACUUCGGUCCUGGAUGAAUAAUACUGAAGAUAUAUGCUAAAAAUAUUCCUAACAUCAGAAUUUGUGCAUGUGUUUUCUUCCCCAAGAAAGCUACAAACAGCAAAAAUUUUGUUGUAAGCUUCCCUAUGUCCUCUCUCUCUCCCUCUCUCCCUUCCCACUUCCCUGAAAUUAAAAGCAACGUUAAAAGCCCAUUUUUCUGAGACCAGCAGACCUUAUCUAUGCUCCCAAUUCCAAUUCCUUGUAAACACAAUUUGUAAAAUCCUGUGAGAUCCUGUCUCCUUUGCCAUGCUGCUGCAAGGUCAUAAAGU
ensembl:lncRNA